rnacentral:rRNA from 1 species
AGUGAACGCUGGCGGCAGGCCUAACACAUGCAAGUCGAGCGGCAGCGCGUCCGACCACCCUCGGGUGGUCGGAUGGCGGCGAGCGGCGGACGGGUGAGGAAUGCAUCGGAAUCUGCCUCGUUGUGGGGGAUAACGUAGGGAAACUUACGCUAAUACCGCAUACGACCUACGGGUGAAAGUGGGGGACCUUCGGGCCUCACGCGAUGAGAUGAGCCGAUGCCGGAUUAGCUAGUUGGCGGGGUAAAGGCCCACCAAGGCGACGAUCCGUAGCUGGUCUGAGAGGAUGAUCAGCCACACUGGAACUGAGACACGGUCCAGACUCCUACGGGAGGCAGCAGUGGGGAAUAUUGGACAAUGGGCGCAAGCCUGAUCCAGCAAUGCCGCGUGCAGGAUGAAGG